AAGGAUAUAAUUAAAUCCGUUUCGAUCCCCCUCCGUUAUCCGGGCUGUAUAAAUAAAUUUUUCCUAUAUAAACGCGUUUAACUAUUAUCGCGUUCGAGAAAAAUCGAGAAAUCCAUAACAACUCGAAACAAUUCGAACGAGAAUUGCGCGCGCAACCGUUUAUACGCGUUGUUAAGUUUAAGAGAAGAGGCAGGGGAUCAAAUGGUCGUAAGAUCAUAGACGGGGCUACCGAGAUCGCUAGAGAGACCGUUAGAGUUAACGACGAGUUCGCUUCCCUUCUCCUUCUCCGCCAUCUUUCCGCCUCGCAAUUUCUACGAGUGGAUAUAUCCGCGAUAGUGCGGUAGCUCGCGGAGGCGGUUAACGAUGAGAUGAACGAUCCGUUCGCAAGAACGAGGUUAUGUUUUAUAAUCGCACCAAAUGGAUACAAAAUGGCCCUUUUACGGUGCUUCAAAAGUACGUAUGUUUUUAUGAAUCAAGUUAUGUUGGAAGUCAAUAUUUUUUUUAAAGCUAUAAUUCUCGAUGAGAAAAAACUAAGAAUUAAAUUUUAAUUAGAAAUUUGAAUAAUUAAUCGUGUUACAUGUAAUAUUACUUUUUUUUAUCAUAUAUGAAGCGUUUAAACGUAUUAUACGAGCGAUGAAAUUUACGUCUCUGAAUGAGUUAUUGAGGAUCGAGUGAAUGUUUAUGCUAGGAUACCAGUUACGUUUGUGUGAUAAAUGAUUGAACGCAGCAUUUGGAUCUCGAACGAUCAAUCGAUUCUUCUUAACCUUUUAAAGAGUUAAGACAGCGUUAAGUGAGAGCGUUUAAAAAAAGAGAAGUAGAUUUAUAAGUUUAUAAGUUUUGCGAUUAAAAAAUUAACGUGGAUAAACGAUUGGACGUAUCAAAAAACGAAUAAAAGAUACAUUGCUUAAUAAAUGUUAAAAAUUAUUAUCAAAUAUCUCAAUUCAAACCUCGCUUUAAAUUUUAUCAAAGAAUUGCGAUCCUAAUUUUUUGAGAAUUCAAUUUCAACUUGGAUAAGAAAAAUUCGAUCCACUUCUACUUUCGAAAACGUCAUUAAAUCAUUAUCGGUCGCGGAAUGGAAACGAUAGUUUCUCUUGUUAUAGCACAAAGACCAUGAUGCACCGUGUUCCCUUUCGAAGAUUUACGGUACGAAGGUGGAAACAGGUACCGUGAUAAAACGGAUAAAAAGGCAUCGCUCGUGAUGUAGUUCGUUCCUUGGUUGGACUCGAAACGAGCAAAUUGUAGAGUCAAAGAUAAAUCUCGGCAAGAUUUCACACCCUCCGGCACGCCCGCUACGUGUAUAAAAUCUCCCACUUCUCUCGGCCAAAUGCUUUCCACUCUUCCCUCCCGUUCGAAAUCGCCAUUCUCGAAAAAAAGGAGAGAAAAAGA